rnacentral:lncRNA from 1 species
CCGCGCAUGGGUGCCAUUUUGGAGACAACCUGAAGCAGGUGUGGAAGUUCAGCUGCUUGGUCUAAUUUACUGGUGGUGUGACGGCAGCUAGCCAGUAUCACUGCACAUCACCGCCAGCUCUGGUGUAACAUCCACCGAAAGAUUAGAGAAAGGGCCCUGGUUCGACUGAAGGAGAAGAGAGAAGGCCUGGUUCCACAGAAAGGCCUGGAAGCAGAGGCAGCGGCCUGCUGCUGGGGGCACAUGGCGCACAGCGAGGAGCUGCAGCAGGUGCUGUUGGCUUGUUUGAGCUUACAGUGAAGAUGAAGACACAAGUUGAUGAAUGUUACUUUGUCUUUAGAAGCCAGAGCAGGUGCUUCCCCACUGUGAAUGGCUGCAGAUCAUCUGGACUUCAUUACAGAGUCGCUGAGAUAAAAGGGAAGCAUUAUUGUCUGUGUUCAACAAUAAGUGUUAAAUUCAAACGCUUCAUAAACAUCAGUGUGAAGUCAACGCUUCAUAAAUAUCAGUGUGAAGUCAACGCUUCAUAAAUAUCAGUGUGAAGUCAACGCUUCAUAAAUAUCAGUGUGAAGUCAACGCUUCAUAAACAUCAGUGUGAAGUCAACGCUUCAUAAACAUCAGUGUGAAGUCAACGCUUCAUAAACAUCAGUGUGAAGUCAACGCUUCAUAAACAUCAGUGUGAAGUCAACGCUUCAUAAACAUCAGUGUGAAGUCAACGCUUCAUAAAUAUCAGUGUGAAGUCAACGCUUCAUAAAUAUCAGUGUGAAGUCAAUGCUUCCAAACUAACAAAGUUUGUCUCCAUCUAGUGGUGAACAGGAGAAAUGCGCCACUUCCAGAGACACAGCUGAAAGCAGUGAUAAUCAGAGCACAUGGCGCUCAGGAACAAUGCACAGGCUGCAGAGGAUCCAGGCUGUCUGAGGACGGGCCUUGAAGGCCUUGGUGCUUUCUGGGAGACGUUGCAGUGGAUUGAACUCGACAAGAGGUCCCUGACUGCAGCAUGGCCUGCCUGGCAGAUAAAGCAUGUUCUUUGGCAGAUGAUUAGCGCUCAGACAAAAGUAGCAUCUUGCGAGGAGGAACAGUGGCAACGUCAGGCGUGUUGGCCUGGUCCUCAACUGUGAGUAAUUCCGAGGCCUACAGCUACAUCUGCACCAUCAGCGUUUGGUUUUACUCGUGUUGCCCUCAUGUCUGCAGUGUUUUAACUCUGCAUUGCAGAUCAUGUGUUAUAUUUGGUGUUAAACAUGGUCCAUCUUGUCCUCCUCAGCUGACGACCACAUAACGGCACCAGCGCCUCCAGUGCCUCUGCCUGCACCUGGUCAUCCACCAGCCAGGCCCUGCCUGUGGUCUGAGGAGACGUCUUCAUGUCCCGCUGUGUCAGGUCAUCGGUUUUCUUGUUAUUUCCAUAUGGCAUGGUUUUUUCCACCUCAUAUUUUCUCCCCUCACGCAGGCGGUAUAGUGUAGUGAUAAAAAUUAUAUUAUUCGUAGUCUAAUUAAAUAAAUUAACAUAGAUACAUAAACUAAGAUACA